rnacentral:rRNA from 1 species
GACAGAGGAUGCAAGCGUUAUCCGGAAUGAUUGGGCGUAAAGCGUUUGUAGGUGGCUUUUGAAGUCCGCCGUCAAAUCCCAGGGCUCAACCCUGGACAGGCGGUGGAAACUACCAAGCUGGAGUACGAUAGGGGCAGAGGGAAUUUCCGGUGGAGCGGUGAAAUGCAUUGAGAUUGGAAAGAACACCAACGGCGAAAGCACUCUGUUGGGCCGACACUGACACUGAGAGACGAAAGCUAGGGGAGCAAAUGGG